rnacentral:lncRNA from 1 species
UUUUUUUUGUAUAGCUGCAAUAGUUUAUUUGCUUGAAUCACAUGACAAGUCAAUUGUUAACUACUCCCUCCAUCCCAUAAUGUAGGACGUUUUUUGACACAGUGUCAAAAAACCUCCUACAUUAUGGGAUGGAGGGAGUACAAUUUUUCUUUUCUGAUAACAGUUUAUUUGCUUGAAAAGAGGCUGCUUCUGUGCUCACAGGACAUCACGUGAGAUGAUAAGAAAUCUCAAAUGAAGAUAAGAACACAGCAAGGGCAAGGAGGAUUACUUGUUCAAUGUUUAGUAGCCUUGUAGUUUAUAUGUACUGAAGGUGUCACCAAAGAAGAGUGACCAAACUCAUGCUGCUGUCAGAUGGUGUUUCCGGACUAGUUUAGUGAUGUGAGUUUCAGAGAAUGUGAUUGUUCUGUGGAGCUCAAAACAACCAAUUAUGAUUUUAAUUUCUUGUUUUCUACUGUAACUUGAAUCUCUGUGGGUUCGUUAGUAAAAUCUGGGUGGAAU